AUUCAGCCAAGUAGUGUGAGCUCAUCCAGUUCUUUCACUCAGUUGAAGAUGCCCUUGAAGAAGGUUUGUUCCCUUUUUCAACUUUACUGUUUUUUCUGCUAAAAGAAGCAUUGCCUCUAAUAUUGACUGGUUUGAUAUAUAGAGAGUUCGAACAGAUGGGAAUCAUGAGCCACAUUUGGAAGAUUCAGGAAGUCUUGGUGUUCUGGUAUAGAGCCGGCCCCCGCCUACACAGCAGACAACUCAUAGGCUCCCUUGUCGACACAAGUCUUAGAAUGCAAGAUAUGAAGCGCGUGACGCGACCUCCUACCCGCAUGCAUAUACGGGUAACCCGACGGAUAAAAGUUUCACUUGGCGGGUGCGGGUAUGGAAUGGUAGUACCCGUCGGGUACUGACGUGGUGUUGCAAAAGGCAUAUGCCACGGGGUGGCUAAGAUCGGUGUUGGUGCAGCGCUCUGCAGAUUCGGCACCCGCAGGGAUUGCGCCGGAGCGCAGACACGUGAAGUACCCAGGUUUAGGGCCCUCCCGGAGGAGGUAAACCUUGUUUGAUGAAUUCACAAUCGAAUUCGAUGAAUAAGAAAUGAAUUCGUUGAAAAACAAUCGAAUUCGAUGAAUAAGAAUCGAAUUCGAGAAAGCCCCUGGUAAAGCUGAACCUCGCAGGUGCGAUACAUGCUGAGCCGAGGUGGCCGGCGGCGCCAAGCUCUGGGAAGGUGUGAAGAUGAGGAGGGAGGGAGGGGGUGCAGCGAGACCCGUGCACAGAAGAGUGAGGGGAAGCAGCGGUUUCUACUGGCAUAUUCUAGAUGUUGCUUGCUGCACGUAGUGUGAGACGAAUGGACUACUCGGGCUGCAGCGUUGACGAACAAGACGAGCAACUUGCUAUCUACUGGCACUGGCAGGCAGCCAUUCUCAAGCACGGCCAGGUCCCGCCGCGUGGCACAAGGGCCCGUCCCGCCGUCCCAUCCUUGUUGCACCACCUUCCUUCCCCUCCAAGGCUUGAAGUGGUACUACUACAGUAGUACUACUGCUCUGCUCGCGCCCAUGUUUCCAAACUCUUCCAUCACCGUCCAAAACAGCUUCGGCAGGGAGUGGAGAGCAUGCCCCGCCGCCAUCUCCCUUUGGGUCCUCCGCGUCACGCGAGCGAAGGACCUAAACCCUAAACCCUAAUGAGCCGCCCCGGCCCGACCUCCCCGACGCAAAUGCGCGCUCCGCCGGCCCCGCCGCUCCCUGCCGUGGUGGGCUGGGAGCUGGAGCGGAACAAGGCGUGGCUGCAGCAGCAUGCCAACCCACGCGUGCGGCAGCUCACGUUCCAAAUCACAUCCGAUCUGGUCUCUCUUUAUCCCAUUUUUUUCUUCACUUUUAAGCUGCAUGGUGUUCGUGUUCGACUGUAAAGCAAGUGAUUUUUCGACCUCAUCCUUUAGCUAAUUUGGAGAUUCUCCAAAAAAAUCACUUGUUUAGGGAUGAACCGUUUUCUCUCAGUUAAGUCAAUUUUUGUAAGCAAGUGAUUUUUUUUAUCUCCUCCAAAUCACCUACGCGAAAGUGUGAAGGUCAUCAAGUAUCUUUAGAUCCAAGAGCAACGUGGCAGCAUCCAGAAGCAACGGCAGACCAAAAGCAACAUGUUGUGUCUGUGGCUGUUCCAACUGGCUGCACCGCAUUGAAGGCUCCGACUGGCUGCCCUGCCACAUCACCGCAUCAAAUGGAAGGGGAUCCAGCUGGUUGUGUCUGUGGCUGUUCCAACCGGCGCAUCGCCGGCAAAUCCUCUUCCCACACUGGUGGUUCUUCUUCCCCUCUUCGCAUCGCUGGUAUCAGAUCUCCCCGGACUCGGUCUUUGUCGGGUCAAUUGUCAGGUACAUCACACCGGCUUUCAGAGGCAUUGGGUGGCGGAGGCGAAUCAGAUUCAUCAACAUUUUUUAAUAGACGAACUAUGUAAAAAAAUCAUGAACAUUUUUCAUUUCCCGAACAUUCGUUUUCAAAAUUCUGAAGACUUUUUUUAAUAUGCGAACAUUUUUUCUAAACCGUGAACAUUUUCUAAAUGCACAAACAUUUAAAAACCGUAAAGACCUUUUUAAAAAUCUCUCUGUGAACUCGUAUCUAUUGGGCCAGGCCAAGCCAUCAACUACUCUUGGGCCUCGGUCCAACAGCUUAAAAGGCCGAGGACGAGAACACGUGUCGGCCUUACGAUACCAGGACGAGGACACGCAUUGGCAUUACAUUGUCUCAGCGGCCACGCGCGGUAAUGAAAGUGUUACCGCUGAAAAAUAUCGUUGCUUCCGGGACCAAGCAAACGGUGAUGCUCUAGUUGUCAUCGAACAAUACCAUCUUCUCCGUGACUCGUCUGCUUCUUCUCUGUUACGCUAGAGAAACGCGGCAACGGCCACCCUUCUCUCGCGCCUACCACAUGCACAACUACCAUGGAUUUUUGAAGGAGCCUCCGACCACGCCCACUUAACAAAUCUUCACUCGAGGGCGCCUCUUCCUUCUCCUUCUCCUCUAUUGGUAAAAGAAUGAGAUAUUCUUCACUCGAGGGAGCCUCUUCCUUCUCCUUCUCCUCUAUUGGAAUGAGGGAGGUGGGCUGGUGUGAGCUUUGAGCUUGUUUACGGUUGCGACCAGCAGGAGUAGUAGUCCAACAAUUAUCAUGCAAAUAGGAACCAACCAUCCAACACACAAGCAACCAGAGAGAUGAAGGGAGAGGCAUUGUUCACACGCACCUCGCGGAGACGGGACGGAGCCGCCGACGCCGGCCCCGAAUCUAGAACCAAGAAGGGCUAGUCGAAAUUACCUGUGGCAAGAAGCAUUCUCAAAAAGUCGUAUGGGGUGUCGAUUUGCGUGGGCAGAGAUUGGCCUUUGUGAACAGAACCCGCUGCCGCGUGUAGGCUGCAAACCACGUGUCAUGGUCUCAGUUAGAGCCGGCCCCCGCCUACAUGGCAGACAACUCAUAGGCUCCCUUGUCGACACGGGUCUUAGAAUGCAAGAUAUGAAGCGCGCGACGCGACCUCCUACCCGCAUGCAUAUACGGGUAACCCGACGGAUAAAAGUUUCACUUGGCGGGUGCGGGUAUGGAAUGGUAGUACCCGUCAGGUACUGACAUGGUGUUGCAGAAGGCAUAUGCCACGGGGUGGCUAAGAUAGGUGUUGGGGCAGCGCUCUGCAGAUUCAGCACCCGCAGGGAUUGCGCCAGAGCGCGGAUACGUGAAGUACCCAGGUUUAGGGCCCUCCCGGAGGAGGUAACACCUUGUUUGAUGAAUUCACAAUCGAAUUCGAUGAAUAAGAAAUGAAUUCGUUGAAAAA
rnacentral:lncRNA from 1 species